rnacentral:rRNA from 1 species
UACGAGGGGGGCAAAUGUUGUUCGGAAUCACUGGGCGUAAAGGGAGCGUAGGCGGGUUCUUAAGUAAGGUGUUUAAUCCCGGGGCCCAACCCCGGACCGGCACUUUAAACUGGGAAUCUUGAAUAGUGGAGAGGUCAGUGGAAUUGGGGGUGUAGCGGUGGAAUGCGUAGAGAUCCGGAAGAACACCGGUGGCGAAGGCGGUCUGCUGGGGUGAGGCUGACGCUGAUGCGCGACAGCGUGGGGAGCAAACAGG